rnacentral:rRNA from 1 species
AGGUCCUGCCUGCCCAGUGACUAUGUUAAACGGCCGCGGUAUUUUGACCGUGCAAAGGUAGCGCAAUCACUUGUCUUUUAAAUGAAGACCUGUAUGAAUGGUGGAACGAGGGCCUAACUGUCUCCCUUUUCAAGUCAAUGAAAUUGAUCUAUCCGUGCAGAAGCGGAUAUGUAAAUACAAGACGAGAAGACCCUUUGGAGCUUAAGAUUAAAAAUCAACUAUGUCAAAUAUUUAUUAAAUAGAACUAAGUAGUAACUGAUCAUAAUCUUCGGUUGGGGCGACCACGGAACAAAAACAAACUUCCACAUGGACUGAGGACUAACCUUAAAACCAAGAAAGACAUUUCCAAGUCACAGAAUUUCUGACCGCACAGAUCCGGCAAAUUGCCGAUCAAUGGACCAAGUUACCCUAGGGAUAACAGCGCAAUCCCCUUUUAGAGUCCCUAUCGACAAGGGGGUUUACGACCUCGAUGUUGGAUCAGGAC